rnacentral:rRNA from 1 species
AUUGAACGCUGGCGGCAUGCUUUACACAUGCAAGUCGAACGGCAGCGCGGGCUUCGGCCUGGCGGCGAGUGGCGAACGGGUGAGUAAUACAUCGGAACGUGCCCAGUAGUGGGGGAUAGCGCGGCGAAAGCCGGAUUAAUACCGCAUACGACCUGAGGGUGAAAGCGGGGGAUCUUCGGACCUCGCGCUAUUGGAGCGGCCGAUGGCAGAUUAGCUAGUUGGUGGGGUAAAGGCCUACCAAGGCGACGAUCCGUAGCUGGUCUGAGAGGACGACCAGCCACACUGGGACUGAGACACGGCCCAGACUCCUACGGGAGGCAGCAGUGGGGAAUUUUGGACAAUGGGCGAAAGCCUGAUCCAGCAAUGCCGCGUGUGUGAUGAAGGCCUUCGGGUUGUAAAGCACUUUUGGCGGGAACGAAAAGGACUGUGCCAAUACCACGGUUCGAUGACGGUACCCGCAGAAUAAGCACCGGCUAACUACGUG